UAAAUAGAAGUCCUCUACCCCGAGGAUCCAUUCAUUUAUGUGGGUCCAAUUAGAUAAAAAUAUAGGUAUAACAAUGUUGAUUCUUAGUUGCCUCCUAGCAAGUAAAAAGCAAUUAACCUCCACCAAUGUUAAUUAUCUAUUCUUAGUCAAUUAAUCCAGUUCUAAGGUCAAUAACUUUCUACUAUAAAAAUCUCACACACAACCUCCUUCACCGCCCAGCUCACAAAAGCCAGCAGCCAAGCCCCAAAACAAAACCUUAAAACUCCACAGCCAUGGCGGCUUCUUCUUCUUCUUCUUCUUCAAUCAAACCCAUCUUCACAACCCGAUCAAAAUCAUCAAACUCAUCAAAAUCAUCCCUCCUCUCUUUCCUCCACAACACAAACCCUAAACCCAUUUCCUUAAAAUUCUCUUCUCAUAAUUCCAAUUAUACCACUCCUCCUUCAUUCACCAUCAGAAACUCGUUACAAACAGCCCUGGAAACAUCAGAGC
rnacentral:lncRNA from 1 species